GAUAAAGCCUCAGCGAAGGACAGAUCACUGGAUUCAGACUCAUGGAGCCCAAGGUCCUCUGGAGACUCUCAGGUCUCUCUGACGCCUCCUGCUGGAGAUCUGCUUCAGAUCAACUCUUCUGAGGAGGACAGAAGACUGACUCCUGCAGCUGGAUCCGGACCGAGCUUCAGCUCCAGACUGCUGGAUGCCACGGACACCUGGACAGAAGCAGAUCGUCUGAGGACAGAGGCAGUGAGCGUCUUGCCCUCGUCUCAAGACGUCGGCACUGAGGCCACCAUGUCCUCCGAAGACCUUCCUCUGAUUUUCGAGCCGUUGGAGGCCGGAGCAUCAUCUGAACCGUCUGUUGCCAUGACGCCAGCGGCCGUAACCGCGGGAGACGCAGAGCUGGAGCGGAUGGUGUCCAUGGAUACAGAUCUCACUUCCUCUGAUGUCCGUCUCUCAGGAACGCUGGAGACGUCUGGAGCGAGAGAGCCAAUCACAGAGUCCCAUCUGGCAGAGGAGCAUUAUGGGACGACACAACGUGAUGACAUCACACAGGCUCUGGUGGUCUCUGAGGCCGUUCACUUACCAGCGUCAAAACCAAAGACAGACAUGGACGAUCCCAAAAUUAAAGGUUUGUAAAAGCAAGUGUUCAAGGCGAGACACUGCAGGUG
rnacentral:lncRNA from 1 species